rnacentral:rRNA from 1 species
AUUGAACGCUGGCGGCAGGCCUAACACAUGCAAGUCGAACGAGCGGCGGACGGGUGAGUAAUGUCUGGGAAACUGCCUGAUGGAGGGGGAUAACUACUGGAAACGGUAGCUAAUCCCGCAUACCAUCAGAUGACCCCAUAUGGGAUUAGCUAGUAGGUGGGGUAACGGCUCACCUAGGCGACGAUCCCUAGCUGGUCUGAGAGGAUGAUCAGCCACACUGGAACUGAGACACGGCCCAGACUCUUACGGGAGGCAGCAGGGGGGAAUAGUGCACAAGGGGCGCAAGCCUGAUGCAGCCAUGCCGCGGGUAUGAAGAAGGCCUUCGGGUUGUAAAGUACUGUCAGUGGGGAGGCGUUACCGUCAGAAGAAGCACCGGCUAACUCCGUGCCAGCAGCCGCGGUAAUUC